rnacentral:rRNA from 1 species
CUAACACAUGCAAGUCGAACGGAUAGCUACCCAUAGCUUUUUUAGCUAUAGGUUUGCUAUUAGUGGCAGACGGGUGAGUAAUGCAUAGGAAUCUACCUAGUAGUAUGGAAUAGCCAUUAGAAAUGAUGGGUAAUACUGUAUAAUCCCUGCGGGGGAAAGAUUUAUCGCUAUUAGAUGAGCCUAUGUUAGAUUAGUUAGUUGGUAAGGUAAUGGCUUACCAAGACUAUGAUCUAUAGCUGGUCUGAGAGGACGAUCAGCCACACUGGAACUGAGAUACGGUCCAGACUCCUACGGGAGGCAGCAGUGGGGAAUAUUGGACAAUGGGCGAAAGCCUGAUCCAGCUAUGCCGCGUGAGUGAAGAAGGCCUUCGGGUUGUAAAGCUCUUUCAAUAGGGAAGAUAAUGACGGUACCUAUAGAAGAAGUCCCGGCAAACUCCGUGCCAGCAGCCGCGGUAAUACGGAGGGGGCAAGCGUUGUUCGGAAUUAUUGGGCGUAAAGGGCACGUAGGUGGACUAGUAAGUUAAAAGUGAAAUACCAAAGCUUAACUUUGGAGCGGCUUUUAAUACUGCUAGACUAGAGGUCGAAAGAGGAUAGCGGAAUUCCUAGUGUAGAGGUGAAAUUCGUAGAUAUUAGGAGGAACACCAGUGGCGAAA